AGAGUUUGAUCCUGGCUCAGGACGAACGCUGGCGGCGUGCUUAACACAUGCAAGUCGAACGAUGAACUCCAGCUUGCUGGGGGGAUUAGUGGCGAACGGGUGAGUAACACGUGAGUAACCUGCCCUGGACUCUGGGAUAACCCCGAGAAAUCGGAGCUAAUACCGGAUAGGACCUGGAACCGCAUGGUUUUGGGUGGAAAGUUUUUCGGUCUGGGAUGGACUCGCGGCCUAUCAGCUUGUUGGUGAGGUAAUGGCUCACCAAGGCGUCGACGGGUAGCCGGCCUGAGAGGGUGACCGGCCACACUGGGACUGAGACACGGCCCAGACUCCUACGGGAGGCAGCAGUGGGGAAUAUUGCACAAUGGGCGCAAGCCUGAUGCAGCAACGCCGCGUGCGGGAUGACGGCCUUCAGGUUGUAAACCGCUUUUAGUAAGGAAGAAGGGAAGCGCAAGCUUUUUGACGGUACUUGCAGAAAAAGGACCGGCUAACUACGUGCCAGCAGCCGCGGUA
rnacentral:rRNA from 1 species